AUUGAACGCUGGCGGCAUGCUUUACACAUGCAAGUCGAACGGUAACAGGGAGCUUGCUCCGCUGACGAGUGGCGAACGGGUGAGUAAUAUAUCGGAACGUACCCAGAAGUGGGGGAUAACGUAGCGAAAGUUACGCUAAUACCGCAUACGAUCCACGGAUGAAAGUAGGGGACCUUCGGGCCUUAUGCUUUUGGAGCGGCCGAUAUCUGAUUAGCUAGUUGGUGAGGUAAAGGCUCACCAAGGCGACGAUCAGUAGCUGGUCUGAGAGGACGACCAGCCACACUGGAACUGAGACACGGUCCAGACUCCUACGGGAGGCAGCAGUGGGGAAUUUUGGACAAUGGGCGCAAGCCUGAUCCAGCAAUGCCGCGUGAGUGAAGAAGGCCUUCGGGUUGUAAAGCUCUUUUGUCAGGGAAGAAACGGCUGUGGCUAAUAUCCACGGCUAAUGACGGUACCUGAAGAAUAAGCACCGGCUAACUACGUGCCAGCCGCCGCCGUAAGAC
rnacentral:rRNA from 1 species